GAUGAACGCUGGCGGCGUGCCUAAUACAUGCAAGUCGAGCGAACAGACGAGGAGCUUGCUCCUCUGACGUUAGCGGCGGACGGGUGAGUAACACGUGGAUAACCUACCUAUAAGACUGGGAUAACUUCGGGAAACCGGAGCUAAUACCGGAUAAUAUAUUGAACCGCAUGGUUCAAUAGUGAAAGACGGUUUUGCUGUCACUUAUAGAUGGAUCCGCGCCGCAUUAGCUAGUUGGUAAGGUAACGGCUUACCAAGGCAACGAUGCGUAGCCGACCUGAGAGGGUGAUCGGCCACACUGGAACUGAGACACGGUCCAGACUCCUACGGGAGGCAGCAGUAGGGAAUCUUCCGCAAUGGGCGAAAGCCUGACGGAGCAACGCCGCGUGAGUGAUGAAGGUCUUCGGAUCGUAAAACUCUGUUAUUGGGGAAGAACACAUGUGUAAGUACCUAUGCACGUCUUGACGAUACCUAAUCAGAAAGCCACGGCUAACUACGUG
rnacentral:rRNA from 1 species